CACGUAGGGACCAAGCGUUGUCCGGAUUCAUUGGGCGUAAAGAGCGCGCAGGCGGUCGUUCAAGUCGAGUGUGAAAGCCCCGGCUCAACUGGGGAGGGUCACUCGAUACUGGUCGACUCGAAGGCAGGAGAGGGAAGCGGAAUUCCCGGUGUAGUGGUGAAAUGCGUAGAUAUCGGGAGGAACACCAGUGGCGAAGGCGGCUUCUGGCCUGUUCUUGACGCUGAGGCGCGAAAGCUAGGGUAGCAAACGGG
rnacentral:rRNA from 1 species